GGGCUGGGGCUCAGUGGUAGAGCACUCACCUAGCAUGUGUGAGGCACUGGGUUCAAUGCUCAGCACCACG
rnacentral:tRNA from 1 species